CACGUAGGGUGCGAGCGUUGUCCGGAAUUAUUGGGCGUAAAGAGCUCGUAGGCGGUGUGUCGCGUCGGCCGUGAAAACCUGCAGCUUAACUGUGGGCGUGCGGUCGAUACGGGCAUCACUGGAGUUCGGCAGGGGAGACUGGAAUUCCUGGUGUAGCGGUGAAAUGCGCAGAUAUCAGGAGGAACACCAGUGGCGAAGGCGGGUCUCUGGGCCGAUACUGACGCUGAGGUGCGAAAGCGUGGGGAGCAAACAGG
rnacentral:rRNA from 1 species